UGGAGCAGAUUCUGACUUCCAAACCAGCAGGGGUGACUGUCAUCCAUGAGUAUGAAAAAACUGGGAGUUUGAAAGAUUCCACCAGGCGAUUAAUGGUGAACAUCAUUGUAGCUCACAUGCGUGAAAAGGAAGGGAGAACUGUAAGUAAAGCAACGAAGGAGUUUCAUGCACUUGGAAUCGUGUCACUCUUCCCAUCUUUGAAGGAUCCGUACUCCAAAAAGGGAUAUGAGCAUUUCUAUGACAUUCAGAGCAACAAAGGUUUUCUUGA